UUUUUUAAAGUGUUGGUUACACGUGCAUGGUAAGAACAAAAAAAAAAGAAAAAAAAAAAAGAAAUCUACUUUGACACUUUUAUUGGCACUCG
rnacentral:ribozyme from 15 species